AUGGCUUCUGCUUUCUCAUCCACCGUUGGAGCUCCGGCGUCGACCCCGACCACCUUCCUCGGGAAGAAGGUGAAGAAGCAGGCCGGUACGUUGAACUACUACCAUGGUGGCAACAAGAUCAACAGUAGGGUGGUCAGGGCCAUGGCGGCCAAAAAGGAACUUGACGAGGGCAAGCAGACCGAUGCCGAUCGGUGGAAGGGUCUCGCUUACGACAUCUCCGACGACCAGCAGGACAUCACCAGGGGGAAAGGUAUCGUGGACUCCCUGUUCCAGGCCCCCAUGGGCGACGGCACCCACGAGGCCAUCCUGAGCUCCUACGAGUACAUCAGCCAGGGCCUGCGGAAGUACGACUUCGACAACACCAUGGACGGGCUCUACAUCGCCCCGGCAUUCAUGGACAAGCUCAUCGUCCACCUCGCCAAGAACUUCAUGACGCUCCCCAACAUCAAGGUCCCUCUCAUCCUGGGCAUCUGGGGAGGCAAGGGACAGGGCAAGUCGUUCCAGUGCGAGCUGGUGUUCGCCAAGAUGGGCAUCAACCCCAUCAUGAUGAGCGCCGGAGAGCUGGAGAGCGGCAACGCCGGCGAGCCGGCCAAGCUGAUCCGGCAGAGGUACCGCGAGGCGGCGGACAUUAUCAAGAAGGGCAAGAUGUGCUGCCUCUUCAUCAACGACCUGGACGCCGGCGCGGGGCGGAUGGGCGGGACGACGCAGUACACGGUGAACAACCAGAUGGUGAACGCCACCUUGAUGAACAUCGCGGACGCGCCCACCAACGUGCAGCUCCCGGGGAUGUACAACAAGGAGGAGAACCCACGCGUGCCCAUCAUCGUCACCGGCAACGACUUCUCGACGCUGUACGCGCCCCUCAUCCGCGACGGCCGCAUGGAGAAGUUCUACUGGGCGCCCACCCGCGAGGACCGCAUCGGGGUGUGCAAGGGCAUCUUCCGCACCGACAACGUCCCGGACGAGGCUGUGGUGAGGCUGGUGGACACCUUCCCGGGGCAAUCCAUCGACUUCUUCGGCGCGCUGCGGGCGCGGGUGUACGACGACGAGGUGCGCAAGUGGGUCGGCGAGAUCGGCGUCGAGAACAUCUCCAAGCGCCUCGUCAACUCCAGGGAGGGGCCGCCGACGUUCGACCAGCCCAAGAUGACCAUCGAGAAGCUCAUGGAGUACGGCCACAUGCUGGUCCAGGAGCAGGAGAACGUGAAGCGUGUGCAGCUCGCCGACAAGUACCUCAGCGAGGCGGCGCUCGGCCAAGCCAACGACGACGCCAUGGCGACCGGCGCCUUCUACGGCAAGUAG
rnacentral:rRNA from 1 species